rnacentral:rRNA from 1 species
AGAGUUUGAUCCUGGCUCAGGAUGAACGCUGGCGGCGUGCUUAACACAUGCAAGUCGAACGAUGAUGCCAGCUUGCUGGUGGAUUAGUGGCGAACGGGUGAGUAACACGUGAGUAACCUGCCCCUGAUUUCGGGAUAAGCCUGGGAAACUGGGUCUAAUACCGGAUAUGACCACCGGCCGCAUGGUUGGUGGUGGAAAGUUUUUCGAUUGGGGAUGGGCUCGCGGCCUAUCAGCUUGUUGGUGGGGUAAUGGCCUACCAAGGCGACGACGGGUAGCCGGCCUGAGAGGGCGACCGGCCACACUGGGACUGAGACACGGCCCAGACUCCUACGGGAGGCAGCAGUGGGGAAUAUUGCACAAUGGGCGCAAGCCUGAUGCAGCGACGCCGCGUGAGGGAUGACGGCCUUCGGGUUGUAAACCUCUUUCAGUAGGGAAGAAAACCUCCGUCCUAAUACGGUGGGGGGAUGACGGUACCGGAAGAAUAAGCACCGGCUAACUACGUGCCAGCCGCCGCGGUAAUUC